rnacentral:other from 1 species
AAAACCCUACGAUGUGCGUGGCGACUCGGGAGUUUUGAGCCAACACCAAAAAAUAAGGAGCCUGGGCUCUGGUUGUGGCUUGUAGACCCCGUUACGGGGGAACAAAAAGCAACCAGGAGGGCACCACCGUGCUGAGCCGAGGUUCAGAAACACCCGUCUGCCACGGCAUAUGUGGGGUUUCU